CCCAGACAGCCAGGAUGUUGGCUUAGAAGCAGCCAUCAUUUAAAGAAAGCGUAAUAGCUCACUGGUCGAGUCGGCCUGCGCGGAAGAUGUAACGGGGCUAAACCAUGCACCGAAGCUGCGGCAGCGACACUAUGUGUUGUUGGGUAGGGGAGCGUUCUGUAAGCCUGUGAAGGUGGCCUGUGAGGGUUGCUGGAGGUAUCAGAAGUGCGAAUGCUGACAUAAGUAACGAUAAAGCGGGUGAAAAGCCCGCUCGCCGGAAGACCAAGGGUUCCUGUCCAACGUUAAUCGGGGCAGGGUGAGUCGACCCCUAAGGCGAGGCCGAAAGGCGUAGUCGAUGGGAAACGGGUUAAUAUUCCCGUACUUGGUGUUACUGCGAAGGGGGGACGGAGAAGGCUAUGUUGGCCGGGCGACGGUUGUCCCGGUUUAAGCGUGUAGGUGUGUGUUCCAGGUAAAUCCGGUUCACUUUAACACUGAGGCGUGAUGACGAGGCACUACGGUGCUGAAGCAACAAAUGCCCUGCUUCCAGGAAAAGCCUCUAAGCAUCAGGUAACAUCAAAUCGUACCCCAAACCGACACAGGUGGUCAGGUAGAGAAUACCAAGGCGCUUGAGAGAACUCGGGUGAAGGAACUAGGCAAAAUGGUGCCGUAACUUCGGGAGAAGGCACGCUGACA
rnacentral:rRNA from 1 species